AUUGAACGCUGGCGGCAUGCCUUACACAUGCAAGUCGAACGGUAACAGGUCUUCGGAUGCUGACGAGUGGCGAACGGGUGAGUAAUACAUCGGAACGUGCCUAGUAGUGGGGGAUAACUACUCGAAAGAGUGGCUAAUACCGCAUGAGAUCUACGGAUGAAAGCAGGGGAUCGCAAGACCUUGUGCUACUAGAGCGGCCGAUGGCAGAUUAGGUAGUUGGUGGGAUAAAAGCUUGCCAAGCCGACGAUCUGUAGCUGGUCUGAGAGGACGAUCAGCCACACUGGGACUGAGAAACGGCCCAGACUCCUGCGGGAGGCAGCAGUGGGGAAUUUUGGACAAUGGGCGAAAGCCUGAUCCAGCAAUGCCGCGUGCAGGAUGAAGGCCUUCGGGUUGUAGACUGCUUUUGUACGGAACGAAAAGCCCUGGGUUAAUACCCUGGGGUCAUGACGGUACCGUAAGAAUAAGCACCGGCUAACUACGUGCCAGCAGCCGCCGUAA
rnacentral:rRNA from 1 species